rnacentral:lncRNA from 1 species
AAAAAAAUGACAGCGCUCGGCGUCUUCAGGCUUCAGAACCGUUGAUCAAGGACGAUGAGCUUGAGAGCUGAAUCCGGACGGAUCGGACUGCGUCGACGACGAUAAACAGCAGUGCCUGCAUGCUCUGUUGUGCAGCCGUACGUGCCGUGCGCCGGUGUAUGUCUGCAUGCGCAGUACUUAUUUUCUGAAGCAGGUAUAUACAAUAUACUAGCUAGUACACUGUGGUAUCUGCAACGUAGUACUGAUCUGGAUUCUCCAUGUUGGCGUGUAUACUCUCUUUUCUUCACAGGAUCAAGUUCAUGCACUGAGCACCAGAUCAGAUUCAGCCACCGAUCGAGGGAGAGGGAGUGCCGGAGCCGGAGCAGGACAGGGGGCGGCGACGUCCCACGUGCACGGCGAUCUCAAUUAUAUUCUCAUGCAUGCAGCGGACACCGGAUCGAGGAAGCGCGGCAAAGCCUCGUGAUUUCGAUCGGACGCCCCGAUCGCAUCGCAUCGCAUCGCAUCGCAUCGCAGCAGUGCGCAAGGGCAGAACCGCAGGGCAUGGCGCCCGAACGGAGCCCAUCAGCGCCCAGUCGAUCGGCAAGCCCAGAGCGAGCUUCAAAGUUUUGCUAGCUUCGUGCCGAAUUCAUGUCCAUGGAUAUCGGAAUGUGCAUGCAGCAGUUGUUGCCGGGCAAUUGAUGCAGACAACUCUUUUUUUUUUUUCAAAUAUCCGGGUUUAUUUAUAUAUAUACGAGAUACAAUAGAUAGCUUUGG